GGGUUGUGAGGUUAAGCGACUAAGCGUACACGGUGGAUGCCCUGGCAGUCAGAGGCGAUGAAGGACGUGCUAAUCUGCGAUAAGCGCCGGUAAGGUGAUAUGAACCGUUAUAACCGGCGAUUUCCGAAUGGGGAAACCCAGUGUGACUCGUCACACUAUCAUUAACUGAAUCCAUAGGUUAAUGAGGCGAACCGGGGGAACUGAAACAUCUAAGUACCCCGAGGAAAAGAAAUCAACCGAGAUUCCCCAGUAGCGGCGAGCGAACGGGGAGGAGCCCAGAGCCUGAAUCAGCAUGUGUGUUAGUGGAAGCGUCUGGAAAGGCGCGCGAUACAGGGUGACAGCCCCGUACACAAAAGCGCAUGUGCUGUGAGCUCGAUGAGUAGGGCGGGACACGUGGUAUCCUGUCUGAAUAUGGGGGACCAUCCUCCAAGGCUAAAUACUCCUGACUGACCGAUAGUGAACCAGUACCGUGAGGGAAAGGCGAAAAGAACCCCGGCGAGGGGAGUGAAAAAGAACCUGAAACCGUGUACGUACAAGCAGUGGGAGCACCCUUCGGGGUGUGACUGCGUACCUUUGUAUAAUGGGUCAGCGACUUAUAUUCUGUAGCAAGGUUAACCGUAUAGGGGAGCCGCAGGAAACCGAGUCUUAACCGGGCGUUAAGUUGCAGGGUAUAGACCCGAAACCCGGUGAUCUAGCCAUGGGCAGGUUGAAGGUUGGGUAACACUAACUGGAGGACCGAACCGACUAAUGUUGAAAAAUUAGCGGAUGACCUGUGGCUGGGGGUGAAAGGCCAAUCAAACCGGGAGAUAGCUGGUUCUCCCCGAAAGCUAUUUAGGUAGCGCCUCGUGAAUUCAUCUCCGGGGUAGAGCACUGUUUCGGCUAGGGGCCAUCCCGGCUUACCAACCCGAUGCAAACUGCGAAUACCGGAGAAUGUUAUCACGGGAGACACACGGCGGGUGCUAACGUCCGUCGUGAAGAGGGAAACAACCCAGACCGCCAGCUAAGGUCCCAAAGUCAUGGUUAAGUGGGAAACGAUGUGGGAAGGCCCAGACAGCCGGAUGUUGGCUUAGAAGCAGCCAUCAUUUAAAGAAAGCGUAAUAGCUCACUGGUCGAGUCGGCCUGCGCGGAAGAUGUAACGGGGCUAAACCAUGCACCGAAGCUGCGGCAGCGACGCUUAUGCGUUGUUGGGUAGGGGAGCGUUCUGUAAGCCUGCGAAGGUGGCCUGUGAGGGUUGCUGGAGGUAUCAGAAGUGCGAAUGCUGACAUAAGUAACGAUAAAGCGGGUGAAAAGCCCGCUCGCCGGAAGACCAAGGGUUCCUGUCCAACGUUAAUCGGGGCAGGGUGAGUCGACCCUAAGGCGAGGCCGAAAGGCGUAGUCGAUGGGAAACGGGUUAAUAUUCCCGUACUUGGUGUUACUGCGAAGGGGGGACGGAGAAGGCUAUGUUGGCCGGGCGACGGUUGUCCCGGUUUAAGCGUGUAGGUGUGUGUUCCGGUAAAUCCGGUUCACUUUAACACUGAGGCGUGACGACGAGGCACUACGGUGCUGAAGCAACAAAUGCCCUGCUUCCGGAAAGCCUCUAAGCAUCAGGUAACAUCAAAUCGUACCCCAAACCGACACAGGUGGUCAGGUAGAGAAUACCAAGGCGCUUGAGAGAACUCGGGUGAAGGAACUAGGCAAAAUGGUGCCGUAACUUCGGGAGAAGGCACGCUGACACGUAGGUGAAGUGAUUUACUCAUGGAGCUGAAGUCAGUCGAAGAUACCAGCUGGCUGCAACUGUUUAUUAAAAACACAGCACUGUGCAAACACGAAAGUGGACGUAUACGGUGUGACGCCUGCCCGGUGCCGGAAGGUUAAUUGAUGGGGUCAGCGCAAGCGAAGCUCCUGAUCGAAGCCCCGGUAAACGGCGGCCGUAACUAUAACGGUCCUAAGGUAGCGAAAUUCCUUGUCGGGUAAGUUCCGACCUGCACGAAUGGCGUAAUGAUGGCCGUGCUGUCUCCACCCGAGACUCAGUGAAAUUGAACUCGCUGUGAAGAUGCAGUGUACCCGCGGCAAGACGGAAAGACCCCGUGAACCUUUACUAUAGCUUGACACUGAACAUUGAGCCUUGAUGUGUAGGAUAGGUGGGAGGCUUUGAAGCGUGGACGCCAGUCUGCGUGGAGCCGACCUUGAAAUACCACCCUUUAAUGUUUGAUGUUCUAACGUGGACCCGUGAUCCGGGUUGCGGACAGUGUCUGGUGGGUAGUUUGACUGGGGCGGUCUCCUCCUAAAGAGUAACGGAGGAGCACGAAGGUUGGCUAAUCCUGGUCGGACAUCAGGAGGUUAGUGCAAUGGCAUAAGCCAGCUUGACUGCGAGCGUGACGGCGCGAGCAGGUGCGAAAGCAGGUCAUAGUGAUCCGGUGGUUCUGAAUGGAAGGGCCAUCGCUCAACGGAUAAAAGGUACUCCGGGGAUAACAGGCUGAUACCGCCCAAGAGUUCAUAUCGACGGCGGUGUUUGGCACCUCGAUGUCGGCUCAUCACAUCCUGGGGCUGAAGUAGGUCCCAAGGGUAUGGCUGUUCGCCAUUUAAAGUGGUACGCGAGCUGGGUUUAGAACGUCGUGAGACAGUUCGGUCCCUAUCUGCCGUGGGCGCUGGAGAACUGAGGGGGGCUGCUCCUAGUACGAGAGGACCGGAGUGGACGCAUCACUGGUGUUCGGGUUGUCAUGCCAAUGGCACUGCCCGGUAGCUAAAUGCGGAAGAGAUAAGUGCUGAAAGCAUCUAAGCACGAAACUUGCCCCGAGAUGAGUUCUCCCUGAGACUUUAGGUCUCCUGAAGGAACGUUGAAGACGACGACGUUGAUAGGCCGGGUGUGUAAGCGCAGCGAUGCGUUGAGCUAACCGGUACUAAUGAACCGUGAGGCUUAACCUUACAACGCCGAAG
rnacentral:rRNA from 1 species